CUAAAGAUAUUAAUGUUUAAGUGAAUAUAAAAUUCAAGUGAAAUGUAUAUUUAAUUCAACAUGAAUGUAUCUGGAUACAAUCAAUAGUGCAUUAAUGAUUGAAAUCAAAUAUAAUUCUUUGCCUAAAAAUUAACACUUUCAUGAGUAUCCUUCAGUAUCUGGGUAUUCAUCUCAGACAUUUCAUAUAAUUGUAAGAUCGUAAGUAAUGCAUUAUUUCUUAAUUUUUUUUUCUG